rnacentral:rRNA from 1 species
AGAGUUUGAUCCUGGCUCAGAACGAACGCUGGCGGCAGGCCUAACACAUGCAAGUCGAGCGCGCUUUCGGGUGAGCGGCGGACGGGUUAGUAACGCGUGGGAACGUGCCCUUCUCUACGGAAUAGCCUCUGGAAACGGAGAGUAAUACCGUAUACGCCCUUUGGGGGAAAGAUUUAUCGGAGAAGGAUCGGCCCGCGUUAGAUUAGGUAGUUGGUGGGGUAACGGCCUACCAAGCCUACGAUCUAUAGCUGGUUUUAGAGGAUGAUCAGCAACACUGGGACUGAGACACGGCCCAGACUCCUACGGGAGGCAGCAGUGGGGAAUCUUAGACAAUGGGGGCAACCCUGAUCUAGCCAUGCCGCGUGAGUGAUGAAGGCCUUAGGGUCGUAAAGCUCUUUCGCCUGUGAUGAUAAUGACAGUAGCAGGUAAAGAAACCCCGGCUAACUCCGUGCCAGCAGCCGCGGUAAUACGGAGGGGGUUAGCGUUGUUCGGAAUUACUGGGCGUAAAGCGCGCGUAGGCGGAUUAGAAAGUUGGGGGUGAAAUCCCGGGGCUCAACCUCGGAACUGCCUCCAAAACUGCUAGUCUAGAGUUCGAGAGAGGUGAGUGGAAUUCCGAGUGUAGAGGUGAAAUUCGUAGAUAUUCGGAGGAACACCAGUGGCGAAGGCGGCUCACUGGCUCGAUACUGACGCUGAGGUGCGAAAGUGUGGGGAGCAAACAGGAUUAGAUACCCUGGUAGUCCACACCGUAAACGAUGAAUGCCAGUCGUCGGGUAGUAUACUAUUCGGUGACACACCUAACGGAUUAAGCAUUCCGCCUGGGGAGUACGGUCGCAAGAUUAAAACUCAAAGGAAUUGACGG